UACGUAGGGUGCGAGCGUUAAUCGGAUUUACUGGGCGUAAAGCGUGCGCAGGCGGCCCGUUAAGGCAGGUGUGAAAUCCCUGGGCUCAACCUAGGAAUUGCGCUUGUGACUGGCGGGCUCGAGUACGGUAGAGGGGGGUGGAAUUCCUGGUGUAGCAGUGAAAUGCGUAGAGAUCAGGAGGAACACCGAUGGCGAAGGCAGCCCCCUGGGCCUGUACUGACGCUCAUGCACGAAAGCGUGGGGAGCAAACAGG
rnacentral:rRNA from 1 species